rnacentral:rRNA from 1 species
UUGACCUCAAAUCAGGUAGGACUACCCGCUGAACUUAAGCAUAUCAAUAAGCGGAGGAAAAGAAACUAACAAGGAUUCCCCUAGUAACUGCGAGUGAAGCGGGAAAAGCUCAAAUUUAAAAUCUGGCGGUCCUUGUGGCUGUCCGAGUUGUAAUCUAGAGAAGUGCUAUCCGCGCUGGACCGUGUACAAGUCUCCUGGAACGGAGCGUCAUAGAGGGUGAGAAUCCCGUCUUUGACACGGACUACCAGGGCUUUGUGAUGUGCUCUCAAAGAGUCGAGUUGUUUGGGAAUGCAGCUCUAAAUGGGUGGUAAAUUCCAUCUAAAGCUAAAUAUUGGCGAGAGACCGAUAGCGAACAAGUACCGUGAGGGAAAGAUGAAAAGAACUUUGGAAAGAGAGUUAAACAGUACGUGAAAUUGUUGAAAGGGAAACGCUUGAAGUCAGUCGCGUUGGCCGGGGAUCAACCUUGCUCUUUUGCUUGGCGUACUUUCCGGUCGACGGGUCAGCAUCAAUUUUGACCGGUGGAUAAAGGUCAGGGGAAUGUGGCAUCUUCGGAUGUGUUAUAGCCCUUGGUCGCAUACAUCGAUUGGGAUUGAGGAACUCAGCACGCCGCAAGGCCGGGUCUU